GACGAACGCUGGCGGCGUGCUUAACACAUGCAAGUCGAACGGUGAACGAGGGAGCUUGCUCCCUCCGGGUCAGUGGCGAACGGGUGAGUAACACGUGAGCAAUCUGCCCCGAACUCUGGGAUAAGCGUUGGAAACGACGUCUAAUACCGGAUACGACGCGGGAGGGCAUCCUCUCCGCGUGGAAAGAACUUCGGUUCGGGAUGAGCUCGCGGCCUAUCAGCUUGUUGGUGAGGUAACGGCUCACCAAGGCGGCGACGGGUAGCCGGCCUGAGAGGGUGACCGGCCACACUGGGACUGAGACACGGCCCAGACUCCUACGGGAGGCAGCAGUGGGGAAUAUUGCACAAUGGGCGCAAGCCUGAUGCAGCAACGCCGCGUGAGGGACGACGGCCUUCGGGUUGUAAACCUCUUUUAGCAGGGAAGAAGCGAAAGUGACGGUACCUGCAGAAAAAGCACCGGCUAACUACGUG
rnacentral:rRNA from 1 species